UGCGGUAUUUUAACUGUACUAAGGUAGCAUAAUAAUUUGCCUUAUAAUUUGAGGCUAGAAUGAAUGGUUUGACGAAGGUUAAACUGUCUCUAUCCUAUUUUUUAUAAUUUAAUUUACAUAGUGAAAAAGCUUGUAUUUUUUAAAGGGACGAGAAGACCCUAAUGAGCUUUAACUUUAUUAUUACUUGGUUAUUGAUUGAUGAAGUACUAUAUAAGUUUUAAUUGGGGUGAUUAAGGAAUAAAAAUAAACAGUAACUUCCUUAGGGUAUAAAUUGUUGGAUAAAUUAACCAAUAUUAUUGCUUAUAAUAGAGUUACCAUAGGGAUAACAGCGUAAUUUAUUUUGAGAGUUCUUAUUGAAAAAUGAGAUUGCGACCUCGAUGUUGGAUUAAAGUAACCUUAAGGUGCAGAAGCUU
rnacentral:rRNA from 1 species